AUGGCAGGUCCCCUGUGGCGGGCAGCAGCAUUUGUGCAGAGACACAGGACAGGCUUAUUGUCAGGUAUGGUGAUCCCUGAGGACUGCCCUGCCCUGGUGGAGCUUUCGGUCCUGCAGAGGAGACUGAUCCUUACUGAUGGCCUACAUUGAGGACGUGCCACAGGCCAGGACAGUGCCGGGGGGAACAGGACCUGCCACCAAGGGCACACUGCCUCCUCCUCCACCUGAGAGCCACCCCUAUCCUGGGACAGGAGGGUGAGGACAGGUAUGAUGCACAAGACUGCAGGAGUCCAGCUGGACACUUUUUUGAGGAUGCUGUGGCUGGCCAGCAAAGGGAGCAAGCUCACCACAGCCCAAGGCCCAGGAGCCCCAGGGAGAAAGAAGCAUUUUCUGCUUUGUUGUGCACCCCAGGAAGUCAACCCCAGCAGACUGCUCUAUCCUGACUCCCUUGCCUCCCAGCUGAAUUGGAUUCAACCACUGAGGACUCCAGCAGGAGAUGCAAGGGUAGGAGGAGGGAGAGGUCGGGUUGUCUUCACUCUCCUUGUCUCAGCACCUCUAGGACUGUGGCUGCUGCUGGGCAUCCCUACUUGAAGCCCACGGCUUCCUCUGGGCUCUGGUACCAUCAUUUUACUUUCUUGCCCUUUCAGCCAAGGUGGUAAUGUUGGGGGAAAUUGGUAGCUAUUUUAAAAUAUAGCACAGCAAUUAGGGGACUGUUUUUACAGCCUGGAUGUUUAACAGCCCAGUGAUUUACCUUGUUUCUUCUAGCUUAUCACCUGCAUACCAGAGAUAGUGAAGCGCUCUGCUUUCUGCUUCUGUAAAUUAUCUCCCGCUUUGGUCUGAAACACAGGCCUCCCCCCCACUCUAUAAAACGGCUACUUUCCCUUUGUUCGGGGCUCAGAAUUUGGAGACUGAUUCCUAUGGGCCCAUACACGUUAAUAAACCUCAUACUCCAGAAACCCUCGGUGUCUGGUUGCUUCAUUUUCCUGCAACAGUAACAGCUCCCUGCUAUGGCCAGCUCCUGGGUGCCUCAGCAUCAUUUGCUGGACCCCUUCAGCUUAUCUGCAUUUCAGUAAAUCACCCUUCACUAAAUGACUCUUCAUUUGAGCCAUCAGAAUAAGUGCUGUUUCCUGUCAGGACUCUGACUGUUAACAUGUUAAAUGAAAAGAAAAGAACACAAAGCUUUGUAUAGAAGAAAAGACCAGACACUUUAUCUGCACUGUUCCCCUGAACCCUCACAGCACUGGAAUGGAGUGCAGUUGAAAGGAGCAUUGGUACCAGAUUUGAAUUUAGAAAGCGUUUGAAGGGAUAGUCUAACAUUGUCGUAGUUAAAAGGAAAGAAUGUGCUGACAAAGGAAAGUUAAAAAGGUACACAACAUUUACUUCAUUUUAAAAUUGCCAUAAGUUACAGAUUGUAUUUUUUUAAUGCAUAAUAUUUUAAUUCUUUAAAGAAUGUGUUUCUGAGGAGAGGAGGAGGAGGCU